rnacentral:rRNA from 1 species
UACAGAGGAGCCAAGCGUUGUCCGGAUUGACUGGGCGUAAAGCGCACGCAGGCGGAUGCGCGCGUGGGGUGUGAAAUCUGGCCGCUUAACGGCCAGGCGCCAUCCCAUACGGCGCGUCUGGAGUGAUGCAGAGGUCGGUGGAAUUGCCGGUGUAGUGGUGAAAUGCGUAGAGAUCGGCAGGAACACCCAGGGGGGAAACCAGCCGACUGGGCAUCUACUGACGCUGAGGUGCGAGAGCGUGGGGAGCGAACCGG